rnacentral:rRNA from 1 species
CUACCUCAAGAUGAGUUUCCUUUUAAGGGUCGUCAAAGACUAUGACGUUGAUAGGCUACAGAUGUAAGGUUGGUAACAACGAAGUCGAGUAGUACUAAUUGCCCGUAAGCUUUAAUUUUUUU